AGUGAACGCUGGCGGUAGGCCUAACACAUGCAAGUCGAACGGCAGCACAGUAAGAGCUUGCUCUUACGGGUGGCGAGUGGCGGACGGGUGAGGAAUACAUCGGAAUCUACUUUUUCGUGGGGGAUAACGUAGGGAAACUUACGCUAAUACCGCAUACGACCUACGGGUGAAAGCAGGGGAUCUUCGGACCUUGCGCGAUUGAAUGAGCCGAUGUCGGAUUAGCUAGUUGGCGGGGGAAAGGCCCACCAAGGCGACGAUCCGUAGCUGGUCUGAGAGGAUGAUCAGCCACACUGGAACUGAGACACGGUCCAGACUCCUACGGGAGGCAGCAGUGGGGAAUAUUGGACAAUGGGCGCAAGCCUGAUCCAGCCAUACCGCGUGGGUGAAGAAGGCCUUCGGGUUGUAAAGCCAUUUUGUUGGGAAAGAAAAGCAGCAGGUUAAUACCCCGCUGUUCUGACGGUACCCAAAGAAUAAGCACCGGCUAACUUCGUG
rnacentral:rRNA from 1 species